AUCACAUUCGUGAUUUUCCAUGGCCAGCAAAUGAAUCCAGCUUUAUCACCAAGCGAACAUCUGUGGGAUGAACUUGGACAACGUCUCAGAAAUAGCCCAAAUCUACCGGAAACGCUCGCUCAGCUCCGAAUAGCACUUUCCAGGGAAUGGGACAACAUCCCUCAAGACUUCAUUCGACGUCUAAUUGAUUCAAUGCGACGGAGGUAUCAGGCGGCCAUAAAUGCAAGAGGUUCGCAUACACAGUUUUGUCACGUUAACUUGAAUUUCGAAUUCGUCCUGUUAAAAUUGUCCGAAAAUGUGCAAUAUUGUUUCAAAUAGAGAAAACUCGUAAUUAUUUUCUUAAAAAUGAUGUUAGCUAACUGUUCCAUUA
rnacentral:lncRNA from 1 species